CACGCUGCGCGUGCUUACACAUGCAAGUCGAGCGAUGAAGCUCCUUCGGGAGUGGAUUAGCGGCGGACGGGUGAGUACACGUGGGUAACCUGCCUCAUAGAGGGGAAUAGCCUUUCGAAAGGAAGAUUAAUACCGCAUAUGAUAGCUUUACCGCAUGGUACUGCUAUUAAAGGAGUAAUCCGCUAUGAGAUGGACCCGCGUCGCAUUAGCUAGUUGGUGAGGUAACGGCUCACCAAGGCGACGAUGCGUAGCCGACCUGAGAGGGUGAUCGGCCACAUUGGGACUGAGACACGGCCCAGACUCCUACGGGAGGCAGCAGUGGGGAAUAUUGCACAAUGGGGGAAACCCUGAUGCAGCAACGCCGCGUGAGUGAUGACGGUCUUCGGAUUGUAAAACUCUGUCUUUGGGGACGAUAAUGACGGUUCC
rnacentral:rRNA from 1 species